UACCAGCACCCCGAGUGGUCGGGACGUUUAUUGGGCCUAAAGCAUCCGUAGCCGGUUCUACAAGUCUUCCGUUAAAUCCACCUGCUUAACAGAUGGGCUGCGGAAGAUACUAUAGAGCUAGGAGGCGGGAGAGGCAAGCGGUACUCGAUGGGUAGGGGUAAAAUCCGUUGAUCCAUUGAAGACCACCAGUGGCGAAGGCGGCUUGCCAGAACGCGCUCGACGGUGAGGGAUGAAAGCUGGGGGAGCAAACCGGAUUAGAUACCCGGGUAGUCCCAGCUGUAAACGAUGCAGACUCGGUGAUGAAUUGGCUUAUUGCUAAUUCAGUGCCGCAGGGAAGCCGUUAAGUUUGCCGCCUGGGGAGUACGGUCGCAAGACUGAAACUUAAAGGAAUUGGCGGGGAGCACCACAAGGGGUGAAGCCUGCGGUUC
rnacentral:rRNA from 1 species